CAAAUCCUAGAUAUUCAUCGAUGUGAUAAGUUGGAUAGCCUCCCAAGUGAACUAUGGUCUUUGACUACCUUAACAAAAGUACGUGUUCGGAGACCUUCCAAUGCUAUGGCUGCAAUCCUACAGAAUUUGGAAGUUGAGAAUGGAUGUGAGGUCAUUGUAGACCUUCCAAUGCUAUGGUUCAAUGCCACACCUUCAAAUCCUUGAUAUUCAAAGAUGUAGUAAGUUGGAUAGCCUCCCAAGUGAACUAUGGUCUUUGACUACCUUAACAAAAGUACGUGUUCGGAGACCAUCCCCUCAAAUGGCUGCAAUGCUACACCAUUUGGAAGUUAGGAAAGGAUGUGAACUUAUUGUAGAGUAAUUAGAAUUAAUGCUUGUUUGCUUUGAAUUUAUAAGUUUUUUUAUGGUAUAUUUUAAACACCUUAUUUAUUAAUUUCAUAUUUCUUUCUUCUUCAUUUAUCUAUUUCUAUUUUAGUUAACUAAUGUAUUUGAGGCUUAGUAAUAAGACUGAAAAAUAACCAAAUCAAUUAGAAAAUAUCGAUUUACUUAGUGAAUAUUUACUCUCCUUGUGUUCUAGAAAAAAA
rnacentral:lncRNA from 1 species